rnacentral:tRNA from 1 species
GGCCGGUUAGCUCACUCAGUAGAGUGUAGCACUGACAACGCUAAGGUUGUGGGUUCCAUUCCCGCUCGGUCC